AGAGUUUGAUCCUGGCUCAGGAUGAACGCUAGCUACAGGCUUAACACAUGCAAGUCGAGGGGCAUCAGGAAGAAAGCUUGCUUUCUUUGCUGGCGACCGGCGCACGGGUGAGUAACACGUAUCCAACCUGCCCUUUACUCGGGGAUAGCCUUUCGAAAGAAAGAUUAAUACCCGAUAGCAUAAUGAUUCCGCAUGGUUUGAUUAUUAAAGGAUUCCGGUAAAGGAUGGGGAUGCGUUCCAUUAGGUUGUUGGUGAGGUAACGGCUCACCAAGCCUUCGAUGGAUAGGGGUUCUGAGAGGAAGGUCCCCCACAUUGGAACUGAGACACGGUCCAAACUCCUACGGGAGGCAGCAGUGAGGAAUAUUGGUCAAUGGGCGCGAGCCUGAACCAGCCAAGUAGCGUGAAGGAUGACUGCCCUAUGGGUUGUAAACUUCUUUUAUAUUAGAAUAAAGUGCAGUAUGUAUACUGUUUUGUAUGUAUAAUAUGAAUAAGGAUCGGCUAACUCCGUGCCAGCAGCCGCGGUAAUACGGAGGAUCCGAGCGUUAUCCGGAUUUAUUGGGUUUAAAGGGAGCGUAGGUGGACUGGUAAGUCAGUUGUGAAAGUUUGCGGCUCAACCGUAAAAUUGCAGUUGAUACUGUCAGUCUUGAGUACAGUAGAGGUGGGCGGAAUUCGUGGUGUAGCGGUGAAAUGCUUAGAUAUCACGAAGAACUCCGAUUGCGAAGGCAGCUCACUGGACUGCAACUGACACUGAUGCUCGAAAGUGUGGGUAUCAAACAGGAUUAGAUACCCUGGUAGUCCACACAGUAAACGAUGAAUACUCGCUGUUUGCGAUAUACAGUAAGCGGCCAAGCGAAAGCAUUAAGUAUUCCACCUGGGGAGUACGCCGGCAACGGUGAAACUCAAAGGAAUUGACGGGGGCCCGCACAAGCGGAGGAACAUGUGGUUUAAUUCGAUGAUACGCGAGGAACCUUACCCGGGCUUAAAUUGCAGUGGAAUGAUGUGGAAACAUGUCAGUGAGCAAUCACCGCUGUGAAGGUGCUGCAUGGUUGUCGUCAGCUCGUGCCGUGAGGUGUCGGCUUAAGUGCCAUAACGAGCGCAACCCUUAUCUUCAGUUACUAACAGGUCAUGCUGAGGACUCUGGAGAGACUGCCGUCGUAAGAUGUGAGGAAGGUGGGGAUGACGUCAAAUCAGCACGGCCCUUACGUCCGGGGCUACACACGUGUUACAAUGGGGGGUACAGAAGGCAGCUACCUGGUGACAGGAUGCUAAUCCCAAAAGCCUCUCUCAGUUCGGAUCGAAGUCUGCAACCCGACUUCGUGAAGCUGGAUUCGCUAGUAAUCGCGCAUCAGCCACGGCGCGGUGAAUACGUUCCCGGGCCUUGUACACACCGCCCGUCAAGCCAUGGGAGCCGGGGGUACCUGAAGUACGUAACCGCAAGGAGCGUCCUAGGGUAAAACUGGUGACUGGGGCUAAGUCGUAACAAGGUAGCCGUACCGGAAGGUGCGGCUG
rnacentral:rRNA from 1 species